GUGCCAGCAGCCGCGGUAAUACGUAGGGUGCGAGCGUUAUCCGGAAUCAUUGGGCGUAAAGAGCUCGUAGGCGGUUCAGCAAGUCGGCUGUGAAAGUCCGAGGCUCAACCUCGGAAUUGCAGUCGAUACUGCUGUGACUCGAGUCCGGUAGAGGAGAAUGGAAUUCCCGGUGUAGCGGUGAAAUGCGCAGAUAUCGGGAGGAACACCAGUAGCGAAGGCGGUUCUCUGGGCCGGCACUGACGCUGAGGAGCGAAAGCGUGGGGAGCAAACAGGAUUAGAAACCCCCGUAGUCC
rnacentral:rRNA from 1 species